rnacentral:rRNA from 1 species
AGCCAGACUCCUACGGGAGGCAGCAGUGGGGAAUAUUGCACAAUGGGCGAAAGCCUGAUGCAGCGACGCCGCGUGAGUGAAGAAGUAUUUCGGUAUGUAAAGCUCUAUCAGCAGGGAAGAAAAUGACGGUACCUGACUAAGAAGCCCCGGCUAACUACGUGCCAGCAGCCGCGGUAAUACGUAGGGGGCAAGCGUUAUCCGGAUUUACUGGGUGUAAAGGGAGCGUAGACGGCGAAGCAAGUCUGAAGUGAAAACCCAGGGCUCAACCCUGGGACUGCUUUGGAAACUGUUUUGCUAGAGUGUCGGAGAGGUAAGUGGAAUUCCUAGUGUAGCGGUGAAAUGCGUAGAUAUUAGGAGGAACAUCGGUGGCGUAAGCGCUUUACUGGGCCGUAAUUGACGCUGAGGAACGAAAGCCAGGGUAGCAAAUGGGAUUAGAUACCCGAGUACGA